GACGAACGCUGGCGGCGUGCUUAACACAUGCAAGUCGAGCGAGGCUCCCUCUUCGGGGGGAUGCCCUAGCGGCGAACGGGUGAGUAACACGUGGGCAACCUGCCCCUAGCUCUGGGAUAACCCCGGGAAACCGGGGCUAAUACCGGAUAUGACCACGGAAGGCAUCUUUUGUGGUUGUAAAGGGUUUCUGGCUAGGGAUGGGCCCGCGGCCUAUCAGCUUGGUUGGUGGGGUAAUGGGCCUACCAAGGCGACGACGGGUAGCCGGCCUGAGAGGGCGACCGGCCACACUGGGACUGA
rnacentral:rRNA from 1 species